rnacentral:rRNA from 1 species
UACGGGGGGAGCAAGCGUUGUUCGGAUUUACUGGGCGUAAAGGGCGCGUAGGCGGUCAGCACAAGUCAGUUGUGAAAUCUCCGGGCUUAACUCGGAAAGGUCAACUGAUACUGUGCGACUAGAGUGCAGAAGGGGCAACUGGAAUUCUCGGUGUAGCGGUGAAAUGCGUAGAUAUCAGGAGGAACACCGGUGGCGAAGGCGGGUCUCUGGGCCAUAACUGACGCUGAGGAGCGAAAGCGUGGGGAGCGAACAGG